CUUGGGAAUAGUAGUUUACUUGUAUAUUCGGCAUUAAACCAGCUUUUCCCCAUCCACAUCACGCUUACUUGAUUUCAUUUUUAGUUUUAGCUUUUAUUAUUACUAAUUAUUCCGCAGGGCAUAAUGGAAAAUAUUCAGGCUUAUAGUGAGCGAAAUAACAUGCAAAAAAGGCUAUUAAAAGAGUAAAUAAGAUGUGGGAAUCUUUGGAGAAAAGACUUAAUUUUCAGACUGAAAACAGGCCAACCCAAAAUAGUGUUUAAGUAAGUUCUAGUGUUGCAAGAUUUGGGAUUGAUUAUGCUUUUGAAGGUGACGAGGAGGUUUCAAGUGAGAAUUUUAGUGAUGACGGCACUGGACAUUUUUAAAGUAAUGAAAAUACGAAGGUGAGAGAAUUCAGAGGGCAACUAAGUGUUUUAAGCAAUGCCAGGAGUCUUGGUCUGCAUAUAAAGUUAAAAUUAUUUAUACUGCAAGUAAACUUUUGGAUAGUUUUUAAUUCUGAAUUCUGUUUUUCAGAGAUAAUUAUAGUGAAGCACAGCGGAAGCUGCCUCUUGCAGAACAGCAGACUGAUCUUCAGUCAGAGGCUGAGCCUGAUACCCUGACGCCACCAAAAUGGAAAAUAAAUCUCUUGAGCACGCAGCACAGUCAAUGUGGAGUCAUAAAACAGCCAAACCUCAAAGAAAAUGCCUCCCAAGCUGUGACCCAUUUAGAAGAUCAAUUCUCCAUAACAUAAUAAGCAAACAAGAAUUUUUUAUGGGACAGCAGGGAAACCUUAUGAGGAUGGUACAAGAUCUAAAGGCACACAAUGUUUGUGAGCUCACAGAGUCUGAACAUUUAACUCCAAAAACAUUUCCAACUGAAGACUUAAGGUCAUUAAUCUCUGGAAUAUGACCUUCGAUCCUGUCAAGAUAUAAGACAAAAAGUGGUACUUGAUUGCUGGGUGGAGUGGAUGUGUAGGAUACGGUCUGGCGAACUAUGAGACAGGUCAUCGUAAAUGACUUGGCCAAAGGUGUAGAUGGGAAAACACCGUUCCAAACUUUAGAACUUCAAAACAUUGUGAUUGAGACUGUAAGAAGAAAUCCUGUUUGUGCACAGACAACUGAGAUGGAGGUUGAAAAAUGUAUUAAAGGUGGUUUCAUCUUGCUGGUGACCUUGAGGGUGACAGAAAAAGAACACAUUUAACAAAAUAAUUUAUUGCUUGGUAUCUAGUCUUUGGUAUUUUGACUAUUUGUUAGUUAAAGCCCUUAACCCUCAAUUGCUCAGCUAUAUAAAUGAGCUAAAUGUAAUCGCUCUGGAUGAGGGCAUCUACCAAAUGCUGUAAAUGUAAAAAAUCUAUAGAUUCUAUUUUUGGUUUGCAUCAUGGCUAUUUCAAUGGUUGUAAUCAUUUUUUUCUUUUCUUUUUCUUUACCUGACUGAACAUAAUUGAGGUCAUCUUGACAGUAUACCAGUGGUUUCUUUCUUUUACAUGACAUUCCAAAUUGUUGUAUUGUCCGUGUCUAAUGCUUGAGCAAUAGCUAUAAUUGAAUUUCCUAUUAUAGCUUCAAAAUGGCAGUCAAUGCUAUGAAUUGUUUACUGUCAAUCUAAUGAGAUACAUCAGUGUA